GGGGCCCGCGGACCCGUCCUCGGCAGUGCCGGGAGACCCAGCAGUCUCCCUGUCCUCGUUGCUACUCAUCAGAAUACCCUCUAAGCCAAGACGGGAACGCCACAGCUGCCAAGGGAGUGGCUGACGUGGUGGAAGGCAGAGCCUCAGUCCAGAGGGACCUCUCUAAAUGGGAGGACUGGACCACCAGGAUGCUCACAAAGCCCAGCAAGUAGAAGUGUCAGUGGUGCUUGGUGCACAGGGAUGAAGGAGGCAUAACCCUGAGCACUGGUCCAGGCUGGGAAGUGACUGGUGGAGCUGCUGGAGAGGACUUGGAGAGUUUCCUGGAUGUUACUUGAAACAGGAUAAUCACUUACUCAUGUGCAACCAACGACCACAUGGAAGCUGCUCACAAAAGAAGCCGCAGCCUUUGCUAACAAAGGAACUCCUUUCUGUUUUAUUUUUCCAACCAGAAUUCCCAAAAUAAUGUAAUUAAAUUUUUCCCUUUGUUCUGGC